UUUUUUUGCUACCAUCUAUCCUCCUUAUUUUGAAAAUUUUAUGAACCAUAUCAUUCUUUGGAUGUAUGGAUAGUAAUUAUAUUGAAAAGUGAAUUUGAGAUGUAUGGAUAGUUUGGUAUUAUUGGGAUGUAAACGUAUUGUAUGGUAUUAAUAUUCUUUGUAAUUGGUAUAUUUUGAAUUUAAGAUGUAUGGAUAGUAAUAUUAUUUGUAAUUGGUAUAUUUUGAAUGUUUGAUACAUUUUGGCUUUAAA
rnacentral:lncRNA from 1 species